rnacentral:tRNA from 1 species
UUAAUUGAAACCAAAAAAAGAGGUAUAUUACUGUUAAUAAUACUAAUGAAUUUAUAUUCCAAUUAAA